rnacentral:rRNA from 1 species
GAUGAACGCUGACAGAAUGCUUAACACAUGCAAGUCGAUUCAAUUUACCUUCGGGUAAUGAGGAUGGCGGACGGGUGAGUAACGCGUAAGGAACUUGCCUCUUGGUCUGGGACAACUGUUGGAAACGACAGCUAAUACCGGAUAUUAUGAGAUUCUCGCAUGGGAAACUUAUGAAAGCUAUAUGCGCAAAGAGAGAGCCUUGCGUUCCAUUAGGUUGGUGGUGGGGUAACGGCCCACCAAGGCGACGAUGGAUAGCCGGCCUGAGAGGGUGAACGGCCACAAGGGGACUGAGACACGGCCCUUACUCCUACGGGAGGCAGCAGUGGGGAAUAUUGGACAAUGGGCCACAAGCCUGAUCCAGCAAUUCUGUGUGCACGAUGAAGGUCUUCGGAUUGUAAAGUGCUUUCAGUUGGGAAGAAGAAAGUGACGGUACCAACAGAAGAAGCGACGGCUAAAUACGUGCCAGCCGCCGCCGUAA